GAUCCUGAUGCGGGUCUUGAGGGCGAGCCCGUCGGCGCUCUCUGCCACCACCGUCACCUCGUACUCCGGCAUGAGCUCGUAGUCCAGCCGGCGGGAGGUCUCCAGCAGUUCUGAUGCAGGAUUGUCAACCUGAAACAUUAACACCAUUUCUCUUCCCACAAAUACAACUUGACCUGUGUGGAACAGGACCUUCUGCCCAAUGAGCUGCACACCCAGCAACCCCCUAUUUAACACCAGCCUGAUCACAGGACAAUAUACUGUAUAAUUAACCUGUUAACCAGUGCACAUGGGACUGUGGGAGGAAGCCAGAGCACCAAGAGAAAAUCCUUGCCGUCACGGGGAGAACAUGCAAACUCUACAGACGGUGCCAGAAUUGAACUUAGAACUCCGGCGCCACGAGCUGUAAUAGCGUCAGGUAAACUGCCACGCUGCUGUAGCAGCCCGGUACAGUUCUAAAAAUGGAACUGAUUGUCUUGUUGAUUUUAGAUAUUUACCAUCACCCUCCUGUUUUCUCCACCUAUUGAAGUGGAAGCAUCAUUGGUAUCUUUGCAUAUCCCCCAAGUACAGUUUUUCUGGAAGGGGCAAAAAUGAGUCUCCAUGGAGAUGCCCUGUGAUCAAGAGCAAUCUCAGGCUAAUUAAUGUUACAGUAAAGGUGAGAUUCUGGUUCCAUUUGGAAGGUCAUCUUAAAAAUAAACAUGCCCUUUCUCAUUGCAAUUUCUGGAAGUCUGAAAGGGAGCCACAAGCUAACUCACAGUCAAAGAAGUGCUUUCAUGUAGUCUCUGUUGGAAUGUAGGAAUCAAAACAAAUAAUUUUACUUAAAGCACACAAAAACAAUAAUCCAAUGUUUAGUAGUGCACUAAGUCAUUACUAAAAAUGUGAGAGCCUCUGAUCCACCUGAAAAAUCAUUACGUAUAUAAAAUAGGGCUCUAGUUGAAGGUUUCAAUUCAAUUCAAUUCAUGCACAUACAAGCACAUGUAGAAUAUUAGUAAAAAAGCAAUCAGGCAAAUAUAUAAAUAUAUAGUCCAGCAUUCAGUCCAUUUAAAAUCUUCAGUCACCAUAACUGCACUAUGCCACCCCCAGCAGAACGUGCUGGCUCGGACACUUCUUACUGCGGCGGCUGAAAGGGAUCACGCAGAAGUUAGUUAGAGGUGCUUAAAUAUUCUUUUCUAAAACAAACCUCACGCUACAGAACUACGGCAACACUAGUGCUCACUAAACUCCACAUGAAUCAGCAGUUCAGAAUGAGAAGCGGUCUGUCCCUUCAAUUUACACAAACUUCCCCUGUCAGGAUUUACCUAUGGCCUCCAAGCAACUCUUCACUUGGAGCCUUUAGAAGUGCAGAUAGUAAGCUGAUAGUGCACUAUUGAUGAACCCAUUGUUCUGUUCAAGCUGGAUUUACGGGUACAGUGAUCACUCAGUGCCAGGGAAACAAUUAGUGAAAACAGAGAGGUUAGCAGAGAGAUGCUGGUCUGGAACUGGUUUCUACACUUGGAAGUCAGUAAGCUUUCAGGAAGUGUCACUUGGACAUUAAGUUGGGAAGAUAAAUGAGGAUGCAGGGCUAUAUCUUUUGGAAACACUAGUUGAAGUGGUGCAGAAGCAAGAAUUCACAACAGGGGAAUAAGACACCAAGAUGAUGAUACAAUCCAGGGUUGACUCAGGAAUGGAGGUGCCAACUCUGCAAUAGCAUCUUCUCAAUUACUCUCCAUUGCCUGGCACCUUUAAUAAAUUUUAACAUAUUCAAUGCAAUACUAGUAAGCUUACACUUGUAUUAAAAAUCGUACUGCUGCUAUAUAUAAAUUAGUUAUAAGGAUACAGUUGGAUUUACAAUAUUAAACCAUGAUUAAAAUUUUAAAGGUGAUCUAUUUUUGGAGUGUAGGUAUCAUAAUGUAAAUUAAGCUACUAUGUUGAGGUAUUUUGUAAUAAAAGUGAAUCUGCUAAUGUAAGCUGUCCUUGGCUCAACUAAAUCUCAAGAUAAUCAGUGGUUUGUACAACUGUAAUAAGCUAAUAAAGGAAAUGUUGCUGUUUGCUUCCGUUCAUCUCGUCUUAAGUUUUGUUCUCUCUCCAACUGUGUAUUUUUUGUCUUUGCCAGUUGAUCUCCGGCAAAAAAAGUUAUCCGAGCUCAGCUCCCUCAUAAUAAUGUGAUACCAAACACAGAGGACAGACGUGAGAGCACAGAGGAACAUCUGUGAAACUUCUGAAAUGCCUGUUUCGCUGCCGCUUCUACUGUGUGAUCCGAAAUCUCUGGAGGGGAAGGCCCUGAGUCCUCGGCUUUGCUUGUUGCUCGGCGGCCGGGGCGGGGUCGAAGCGCUCGGCAGAGAUGGUGCUCGGUGCUCGGUGUCGGAUGGCUGGUCAGAGGCUCGAAGUUUUUGGAGGGACUCAGAGUCGGCUGCAGUCGAGUGCUUCCAAUGCAUCAGCAAGUUUGCGGCGCUUGGAGUUUAUAGCAGGGAGAGUUUCUCCCUUCAACUGUCUGCGUAAGAUAAUGGGCUAUUGGGACUUGAGACUUUUUAUUAACCACGCCCAUGGUCUGCUCUUUAUUAAAUUACGGUAUUGCUUUGCACUGUUGUAACUAUAUGUUAUAAUUAUGUGUUUUUUGUCAG